GGAUUGUAGCUCAGUGGUAGAGUGUUUGCCUUGUAUGUGUGGGGCACUGGGUUCUAUCCCUAGCACCA
rnacentral:tRNA from 1 species